rnacentral:rRNA from 1 species
UAGGGAAUCUUCCACAAUGGACGAAAGUCUGAUGGAGCAACGCCGCGUGAGUGAAGAAGGGUUUCGGCUCGUAAAGCUCUGUUGGUAGUGAAGAAAGAUAGAGGUAGUAACUGGCCUUUAUUUGACGGUAAUUACUUAGAAAGUCACGGCUAACUACGUGCCAGCAGCCGCGGUAAUACGUAGGUGGCAAGCGUUGUCCGGAUUUAUUGGGCGUAAAGCGAGUGCAGGCGGUUCAAUAAGUCUGAUGUGAAAGCCUUCGGCUCAACCGGAGAAUUGCAUCAGAAACUGUUGAACUUGAGUGCAGAAGAGGAGAGUGGAACUCCAUGUGUAGCGGUGGAAUGCGUAGAUAUAUGGAAGAACACCNGUGGCGAAGGCGGCUCUCUGGUCUGCAACUGACGCUGAGGCUCGAAAGCNUGGGUAGCGAAC